rnacentral:lncRNA from 1 species
GAAAAAAAAAAAAAAAAGACAAGAUUUCAACAAAAGUCCACCUAAUUCCUUAUAUAAUCCUUCAUAAUUAUGCAGAUCCCAUUAUAUUGACUUAUCCUUUUACAUGACUAGCUCCCUCUCUAAAUGGGGAGAUCUUAGAGGGCAGAGGCUGGGUCUUAUUGAUUUAUGGAUUCUCAAUGCAUGACCCAAUGCUUGGUGCAUAGUGAGUGAUGGGUUGAUGGAUAAUUACAAGUAACUGAACGUUGUCUAACUUCUCCAUGGGUGGGAAAUGGGAGAGAAUAAGGGAAGAAAUUCAGUCCUGGAGAAGCUUUCAGUAGUCUCAUAGGAAACAUCUGUAGGUCUAAAGGGGAAAACCAGUGUCUGCAAUUGACUAGAAUGCACUGCUAGGGCAGGGACUGCUGGGGCAGGGAAACUACUGGGGAAGGGGCUGCUAGGUGCUAUUGUUAUUGAUAAUAAUAAAUGGCAUUUACCAAAACAAAAACUAAUAUGUUCCUGAAUCUGCGCUAAGUGCCUUUAUUUAUGUGACCUUAUAUAAUUCCCACAAGAACUCCAUGUAGUUCUUGAAGUUCAUGACUAAUAAUGAACUAUGACUGUGCCCUUUAUAUAGAUUGGAAAAUUGAAGCUGGAAAGUGAAGGAGCCUUUGAAGAGCAGAAGCAGAAGGCUUCCAGUUCAGAUCUGUCUCUCUGCAGAGCUCUCCUUUGUUCUAGCCAGUUUCCAUCUUCUUGGUGUUGCUAAGACAAGCUGUUACUAAGAGGAGGCUAUCCUGACUGACGGCUCAUGCUGGUUUGAGGGUCCUUCUCUUAUUCUGCAGGAAAAGAUACAGAAACAAUGGGAAACACCCCUACAGAGCUCGAGCUUGAGGAUGUGAGCAUCGAUGAGCUUUCCUUUUCUUGGCAAGGGGUUUGGUCUUCAGCUAAAUGUGUGUUUUUGCUGAUUUUAGGGGGAUUCUAAAGCAGCACUGGUUCAUCUAGCUGGAAGUAGCCUCAGCCAAGGCCAUGCUCAUCCAAGAUCAACUGCAGAGGAGGACGAGGGAAAUUUUAUAUGGGAACAAUUAUCUGAAAAAUAGUCAUUCAUCGAUUCAAGCUCUGACAUCUUUCGGUUCUGCCAUUCCCCCAGAGAAUGUCCUCAUUUGUAUGGUCAAGGCUGGGUUGCAGAGAAGUCCAUGUUGCAGCUCAUGGAAAAAAAGAACCAAAGGGACUCAAGAACACUGGCUUAUGUCUUAGAUUGGAGAUGACCUGGAAAGUCAACUUUCACCCAUAACCCAUUGGCCUAAAGUAAGUCCCAGAGUCAACUUGAAUUGCAAGGGAUCCGGAGUAAUGCUGUUUAUACCUGGAGUGCUGGGGACCCAGCUUAAACUCUACCACCAUAGAAGACAGGGAAGAUAGAUUUUGAUGGAUGACCAGAAGUUUCUGUUACAUGUACAACAGAUUAAAAAUAUAUAUAUUGCCAGCUGGGUGUGGUGGCUCAUGCCUGUAAUCCCAGAACUUUGGGAGUCCAA